GCAGUGGGGGAAUAUUGCACAAUGGGCGCAAGCCUGAUGCAGCCAUGCCGCGUGUGUGAAGAAGGCCUUCGGGUUGUAAAGCACUUUCAGUCGUGAGGAAGGUAGUGUAGUUAAUAGCUGCAUUAUUUGACGUUAGCGACAGAAGAAGCACCGGCUAACUCCGUGCCAGCAGCCGCGGUAAUACGGAGGGUGCGAGCGUUAAUCGGAAUUACUGGGCGUAAAGCGCAUGCAGGUGGUUUGUUAAGUCAGAUGUGAAAGCCCGGGGCUCAACCUCGGAAUAGCAUUUGAAACUGGCAGACUAGAGUACUGUAGAGGGGGGUAGAAUUUCAGGUGUAGCGGUGAAAUGCGUAGAGAUCUGAAGGAAUACCGGUGGCGAAGGCGGCCCCCUGGACAGAUACUGACACUCAGAUGCGAAAGCGUGGGGAGCAAACAGGAUUAGAUACCCUGGUAGUCCACGCCGUAAACGAUGUCUACUUGGAGGUUGUGGCCUUGAGCCGUGGCUUUCGGAGCUAACGCGUUAAGUAGACCGCCUGGGGAGUACGGUCGCAAGAUUAAAACUCAAAUGAAUUGACGGGGGCCCGCACAAGCGGUGGAGCAUGUGGUUUAAUUCGAUGCAACGCGAAGAACCUUACCUACUCUUGACAUCCAGAGAACUUUCCAGAGAUGGAUUGGUGCCUUCGGGAACUCUGAGACAGGUG
rnacentral:rRNA from 1 species